rnacentral:rRNA from 1 species
CAGCAGCCGCGGUAAUACGAAGGGGGCUAGCGUUACUCGGAAUUACUGGGCGUAAAGGGCGCGUAGGCGGCGCUCCAAGUUAGGCGUGAAAGUCCUGGGCUCAACCUGGGAACUGCGCUUAAGACUGGAGUGCUUGAGGAUGGAAGAGGGUUGUGGAAUUCCCAGUGUAGAGGUGAAAUUCGUAGAUAUUGGGAAGAACACCGGUGGCGAAGGCGGCAACCUGGUCCAUUACUGACGCUGAGGCGCGACAGCGUGGGGAGCAAACAGGAUUAGAUACCCGAGUAGUCCCUGUCUCUUAUAC